GUCUAUUACCAUACUUCUCUGAAUGCACCUCAUCUCAGAAGCUAAGCAUGGUCAGGCUAGUCACAACUUGGAUGAGAGGAGGUAAAACAAACUUCAAACCUCAGUAGAUU
rnacentral:rRNA from 1 species